rnacentral:tRNA from 1 species
GUUUAAAUAGUUUAAAAAAAAUUUAAUAUUGAAGAUAUUAAGAUAAUAUUUAUAUUUUUAAAUG